rnacentral:rRNA from 1 species
GACGAACGCUGGCGGCGUGCCUAAUACAUGCAAGUAGAACGCUGAAGGAGGAGCUUGCUUCUCUGGAUGAGUUGCGAACGGGUGAGUAACGCGUAGGUAACCUGCCUGGUAGCGGGGGAUAACUAUUGGAAACGAUAGCUAAUACCGCAUAAUAGUAGAUGUUGCAUGACAUUUGCUUAAAAGGUGCAAUUGCAUCACUACCAGAUGGACCUGCGUUGUAUUAGCUAGUUGGUGAGGUAACGGCUCACCAAGGCGACGAUACAUAGCCGACCUGAGAGGGUGAUCGGCCACACUGGGACUGAGACACGGCCCAGACUCCUACGGGAGGCAGCAGUAGGGAAUCUUCGGCAAUGGACGGAAGUCUGACCGAGCAACGCCGCGUGAGUGAAGAAGGUUUUCGGAUCGUAAAGCUCUGUUGUAAGAGAAGAACGAGUGUGAGAGUGGAAAGUUCGCACUGUGACGGUAUCUUACCAGAAAGGGACGGCUAACUACGUG